CUGCCUCACCUGAGUGUAGUAAGUGCAGCAUACUAAAAAGAAAGAAUUACUCCUGAUGCCAGGAUUAUAUCAUUGCCAAAUGCAUCAAUAAUAUAUUAAAGAUGUGGAAUAAUAUAACACUACUUAUCAAUUGAGGGAAGCCAUCCUGAGGAGGAGGUUAUACUGUUUCCUCUCACCGCAUUAACUGAGACCAUCCCCAUUUUUUUGCUUAGACUCUAUCUCUUCAAACCUGGCUGCAGAGUGAAACUCAGCCUUCCCAGCCCUCACAUCCCUGAUGCUUCUGAGGACAAUCCUGCAGGCCCUUUUGGUUCUGAGAACCUGCUGAUUGCUGUCAGAAACUGAAGUGAAAGUGGCGGGUACCAAAUGUAGGAGGCUGCAGUUUCCAGAAUCUUACACCUUCCUCUCUGGCAUGGUCUCCUGGGUGUAUUUUCUGACUCUUUUCUGGAAGGUGCAAUGGAAGCCACAUGGAACUUGAUUUCUGCAUGAAUUCCUGAGGGGGCUCAGCAAACCAAACUCUUUGGACUGACCUUCCCCUCUCUUUGAGGAUGGGCCACUUUCUUCCUGUUUUAUGUUACAAAACACAAAAAACAGAGACAUUUUCAAAAUAUAAUAAACAUUUGUGUUUC
rnacentral:lncRNA from 1 species